CUUUGAUGAGGAGGGCUCACCUAAAAAUAACGAGAGGGCUCAAUCCAGUUGCAGGCAACGGCAGAAGGAAACAUUUGGCACUACAAAAGUGAAGGAAGCCAUCAUGUGGAACAGAAAGUCUAUCCUUCCCCACCCUAAAACUCCCAAAUUCUGAAAACUGUAAGCACAGCAGAAGAUGAUGCUGUUUGUAGAGAUAUCUACUUAAAAGGACAUUCCCAAUAGGCCCCUAUCUACACUGACGCAGGAGCUGUGGAACAUUUACACACUCCACGGAGCGUAUGCUCAUUUGAGCAAUCCACUAAAAACUUAUGAAUAUCCAUGGCCUUCCACUACGGCAAAGACAUCCACCACUGUGAGCUGAAAGACAACUGGGAACAGAGGGAGGUGAACGGAAGAGACGGGGCUGAUGGAAGAACAGAAGAACCAGACAAAAGUCAUCCAGUGUGGUGUCCCCUUCUCCCCAAUCCUAGCUUUUGAAACGAUGAUACUUCAUGGGUACAGAACAGAUCUCAACUGGAAGAGCUGCUUUCUUAAGGCCCGGAGAAGCCUGCAGAGCAAGCUAAGGUGGAGUUGUUUCAAAACACUUCUAAAGAUCUCUGCCUACUCUUCCCGGUAACCAGUAUCCACCUUUGUGUAGCUCAGCAUCAGCAUUUCAGUUUAGAUGAGAGGUAUGACAUUGAAGGUAACCUCCCAGCCACCCAUACCAGCAGAGCUCAGGUCAUGCCAUGGAGAUGUCCUGGAGCACAAACUGGAUUCCUCCUGGAUGAAACUAGGCAAGAAAGCACACUUAGUGGUGCACAGUCAGUCCAUGGGACCAGACCACAGCUAAUCUGAAGGAAAACCUCACAAAUGUCAAUGUCAACACCAAAUAUUUUACGAAAGGAGAGCUUGUCCUGUGGUGCUACACUGCCUGCUAAAGUAGGCAGAGUCCUGAAGAAAACUGAAAAACUCUUCCGAAGUGGAAAUCUGGUCUCUAUGGAGCUCUCCCAUGAACCUGAGCAAACUGAC
rnacentral:lncRNA from 1 species